rnacentral:rRNA from 1 species
GAUGAACGCUAGCGGCAGGCUUAAUACAUGCAAGUCGAGGGGCAGCAGCUCUGUAGCAAUACAGAGGCUGGCGACCGGCAAACGGGUGCGGAACACGUACACAACCUUCCUUUAAGCGGGGAAUAGCCCGGGGAAACCCGGAUUAAUACCCCAUAGUAUAUUGAAGAGGCAUCUCUUUACUAUUAAAGAUUUAUCACUUGAAGAUGGGUGUGCGGCUGAUUAGCUAGUUGGCGGGGUAACGGCCCACCAAGGCAACGAUCAGUAACUGGUGUGAGAGAACGACCAGUCACACGGGCACGGAGACACGGGCCCGACUCCUACGGGAGGCAGCAGUAAGGAAUAUUGGUCAAUGGACGAAAGUCUGAACCAGCCAUGCCGCGUGGAGGAUGAAGGUCCUCUGGAUUGUAAACUUCUUUUAUAUGGGACGAAAAAAGGCUUUUCUAAGUCGUCUGACGGUACCAUAUGAAUAAGCACCGGCUAACUCCGUGCCAGCCGCCGCCGUAAUAC